UACGGGGGGUGCGAGCGUUGUCCGGAAUCACUGGGCGUAAAGGGCGCGUAGGUGGCCUGAUAAGGGUGUGGUGAAAGUCCGGGGCUCAACCCCGGAUCUGCCGUGCCGACUGUUGGGCUGGAGUACUGUAGGGGCAGGCGGAAUUCCGGGUGUAGCGGUGAAAUGCGUAGAUAUCUGGAGGAACACCGGUGGCGAAGGCGGCAUCCUGGACCGGCAUUGACGCUGAGG
rnacentral:rRNA from 1 species